rnacentral:rRNA from 1 species
UACAGAGGGGGCAAGCGUUGUUCGGAAUUACUGGGCGUAAAGGGCUCGUAGGCGGCCUGCUAAGUCGAACGUGAAAUCCCCGAGCUCAACUCGGGAACUGCGUCCGAUACUGACAGGCUUGAAUCCGGGAGAGGGAUGCGGAAUUCCAGGUGUAGCGGUGAAAUGCGUAGAUAUCAUUUGGAACGCCAAUGGUGAAAACAGGUAGCUGGGGCUGUGCUGACGCUGAGACACGAAAGCCAGGGGAGCGAACGGG